rnacentral:rRNA from 1 species
ACUCCUACGGGAGGCAGCAGUGAGGAAUAUUGGUCAAUGGGCGAGAGCCUGAACCAGCCAAGUAGCGUGAAGGAUGAAGGCCCUAUGGGUUGUAAACUUCUUUUAUAUGGGAAUAAAGUUUUCCACGUGUGGAAUUUUGUAUGUACCAUAUGAAUAAGGAUCGGCUAA